CAGUCUCUCAAAGGCACACUGGGACCCCAGCCACACCUCCUCACUCUUCACUUCCUCACUAUUGAACCACAUGGAACAUGACCUUCCCUCUUGGUAAAGAGAGAGAAGAGGAAGUGAAAACAGGAGGGGAGAAUUUUCUUACAGCGCCUCUUGCCCUGAAGACAACAACCGAAAACCCCCUUGGGUUUGAGCAGAGCCUUGUACUUUUUAGUAGCUUGUGCCCAUCCGUGGAUUGCCUCAUUUGGGUUCUCAGAGUUUCCCCAAGAUGGGAGGCAGAAUUCUGAGCUGCCCCAAUUUCCCUCUCAUUUGCAGAUAGGAAACACUCCUGGGGCUGGAGGCAAGGGCUGGACACUGGCUAUUCCAGGAAAAAGAGAGAUCAAAAUACAGGGCUACAGGGGAUUCCCACUGGACUACAAACCAAAGUGCCCAACGGAGAAGCAUGAGGGUCAUCGUGCAGGGAGCCCUCUGCCCUUUGCACUCCAAGGUUUGCUAUGUCCCUCCUCUGAGCUCCUCUAGCUCAGCGACCAAGCAUGUGACCCCAGCCGGAGACACCUCUCUCCUCUGUCUCCAAGAUUCCACUUCUCUGGGCCUACGCCCAGGUCCCCUUUAUCUCUGAGUGUGCCCUAUCACCCGACUAUCUAUUAAGCUGUCAGUAAGU